GAAAUUUCCCCCUCGUUCCUUCCUUCGCGUUAUCGUUCCCAUACUGGCUUUGAAAGCAUUUAGCAAUAGCACCUUCAACUAUGUAUUCUUGUCCUUAUUGCUGGCCCAUAUAUGGGUGGCUUCGUCGUUCUUCUCAGUUUCUAUAUGCUCAAGAAUAUUAAUGUUUUCACUACAGCUCAAGCUGUUUGCAACCAGAAGGGACUUUGGUUCGAUUCAAAGUUUGGAGUUUUGGUGGAUGCCAAUCAUGGGGUUUCAAUAAAGAUUGUUGGGUCUAUUAUUAUUUUUUUUUUGGUCAUUUAUUCAGUUUCUAGUCGGAAUGUUUGGGUUUUUGGAUUGAAACCCAUUGGUGAUGGUGAUCGCGAUUCGGUUAAAUUGAUGACUUUUGCUGUCAUUGAGUGUUUUCUGCCGGUUUGGUCCAUUAGUUUUUCUUUUGGGAACUUGAUUUUGGGGGAAGAUGAUGGAGUUAGGGUUUUCAGUUUGAGGCAGAUAGUGAAAGGGAGUGUUAAGAGAGUUAAGAGGUCGAAUUCAAAUGGGAAUUCGGAUUUGAAUGGAAAAUUGGACAAUAAAGGAUUGAGAUUGCCAAAUGAGGUUAUUGGAAGUAAUCAUCAGUUCAUCACUGUGGUUCAACUGCUUGCAUUAGUUUCUUGGAUGUGAAGAUUGAUAAGCACUGUAUUUCAGGCAUUUCUUUUUGACCAGGAAAUGGAACUCAUAUUAAGCAAGGUGCUGUCCUUUGGUAUAAUGCAUAAGGAUGCCUCUAGAGUCUAGACGGUAAAUUACUGAUUAUUAGAAACAUAUAUGUCUCGGAUUAAGGGCUGCCUCUUCUGUUGUGAUGACCAUAGAAUCUUUUGUUAUUUGUGUAGUAGUUGUGCUCAAUAAUUUUGUGGUAUGAAGAUGCACAAAAAUGCUGAGUGGUCACUGGCUUGUUGAGCCAUUAUGCCUUUCAAAUUGCAGUAAAACUCAAGUCUGUAAGACGUAGUCAAGGUUCUGGUGAAGGGGCUGCAUGUCUUGUGGCCUUUAAGAGCAAGGAGGUUGAGGGCUCAAAUUCAACUGCCAAGUUUCCAUCCUGGCACUGUUCCCCAAAAAGUUUUAUGAUUUUGGAUUCUACCAGAGACUCACAUAUCUUGUGUCUGUCUUACCCUGUUGGUGGAUCAAAUAUCAGAUCUCACAUUAUGCAUUUGCCUGACAGAAUGAAAAUGCAAAAGCUGGCCAUUCUUCCUGAUAUUUCUUCAAGCAGUUCUUAUUCCCUCAAUGUAAAUCUUUCACUUGCUUACAUAUUAAAUAAUGGUGUGAUCAAGGCCUAUCUUGUUGCAUAUUUAGCAAAAUGUUUUAGGACUUGCCCAAUAUGUGUGUUAGGCUUCUGGGUGUCAUUGAUUGAGAAAGAAAAUGGCAAUGAAGCUUCAUGUCAAGUUAAAUAAAAAUGAAUUUUCAGAUUAGCAAAUGGAAGCUUUCAAGUUACUUGAUUAUGCUGCCACAUUUAAUGCUGUUUUAACUUCUGCCCUUGGAAAAAGCAUGUGUUGUCAUUAAUUGAAUUAACCUGCCAUGAUACCAUCAUUAUGCCGAAAUUCAGACUUUCUGGAUAUCAGAUGGAUUC
rnacentral:misc_RNA from 1 species